UUUGAUAGGCGUGAGUUUCUUUUAUUGCGUCUUUCCGUCUCAGUUAGGACAUAUAGUUGGAGGAGCAAAACCAGUUUAAUCUCUAUUAUAAAAAAAGCACAAGACAAAGAGACGGAUUGGAUCUCAUGAGUCAUGACGUGAGAACCGUGGUGGACGUGCACGUGGUUAAAGUUAUUCGGUGCCAAACACAUAAGUCAAUAGAGCGAAAAAUCUGAUAAGUUCUGGUUCAUCAUAUAUUUCCCUUAUGUAAAUCGCUUUUUAAAAAUACUUUCUUGCAACUAAAGACAAAAGCUCCUCUCUCUCGUCUCUGUUCUCUCUCUAAGAUAUUUCACAGGGGAGAGAGAGGGUGAUUGUUUUUGAUUGCCGAUGGUUUCGUCCGGUAUGGACUCCUGUUCGUCGAACCCAGAUUCUGGGAAGCGGUGGUUUUCUAGCACCGUUUUCACCAGUUUUUGCUUCCGGGAUGUGAUGGUUUUCGUAGCAUCAUCUUUGCCGGUUUCGUUCCGGAAUUUUCUUUCCGGUUUUACGUUGAUCGGCGUUUUUUGUGGUUCUCUGUUGAAGCUGACUCUUGAGAUAAUCAAAAUUGAUGAUCUCGAUUGAAGACGGCGUAAUUUCUUCUUGGAAACGUUUGAUCCGUCAGUCUAGGUUUAACGAUGGCGUUCAUGGUGAGGGUUGCUCUGGUUGAGUUGCUUUUUCGCCGGUUGAGUUCCGUCGUCGCAAACCUUUCUCUGGCACCGGAGGAAGACGAUGGUUGUUUCCUUGACGCGUGUUUCCAAAUCGUGUGUCGAUUGAACACGUGGUGGAUGACUUUUCAUUUCUUUCCCUACGGUUCCGCUUGCGUGGUUUUGGUACAUUUCUUUCCCUACGGUUCCUCUUGCGUGGUUUUGGUUGCAAGUUGUAUUGUAAAAUUGGGCUUUUUGGGCUCUUUGGCUUGUUAGGCCUUCGUGUUUGGUUCUUAGUUUUUUGUUUGUCCUUUCUUUUGGAUUUUCUUGUAUUCUAUGUUUUUGUUUAAUAAAUCAUCUUGUGUAAAAAAAAAAAUCCCUUUUUAAAACUUUAUGACUUGGUUCUAUGCAAGUUCUAUGUAAAAAACAGUUUUUGUAACUUUUCUAAUAAAAAUAAUAUUAAGAGAAA
rnacentral:lncRNA from 1 species